rnacentral:lncRNA from 1 species
AUGUUAAUUAUCGACAUGGACCUAUCGAUACCAACGACUGCGGGUUGACUGUCCGAGACAGUUCGCAAUACAUGAUUACCACCGUAAUCCAUGCAAGUAAUUGUCCUUAACAACCCCCGAGUGAACGGGUGCUGAGUCCAAACUAUAGUACUACGUUGCUAAGGCAGGUAGACAGCAUUCCAUGUGUAAACAUAACAACAAGCAUACAUUUAGUCACGUAAUACAUGCAAUCGCGUUCAAAUAGUUUGAAUAGUGUGUUCGAUUGUGAUUUUGAUAAGUAACGUAUGUAACACCCAAAAGUGCUAAAGCAAAAAGGGAUUCGAGUAUACUCACAGUGAUUGAUUAUGGAUUGAAGGGAGCGCUGAGAGUAGGGUUAGCCUGAAUAGUUCGAUAGCAUAAUGAUGAGUAACGCGGAAAUGUAAACAAGUGUGAAUGGAUCGGAUAGCCUGGUCGAUCGAACAGCAGGUUCGAUCGAACGGGCUGUUCGAUCGGCUUGAAAGUCCGUUUAAACAGUCCUGUUCGAUCGGCCGGUAGGCUCGAUCGGCUGGGCCAUUCGAGUGGAUUGUUUCU